rnacentral:tRNA from 1 species
GGAUUGUGGCUCAGCGGUAGAGCGCUCACCUAGCACUUGCAUAGGUCCUGGGUUCGAUCCUCAGCACCA